AGGACGAACGCUGGCGGCGUGCUUAACACAUGCAAGUCGAGCGGAAAGGCCCUUCGGGGUACUCGAGCGGCGAACGGGUGAGUAACACGUGAGCAAUCUGCCCUUAGCUUCGGGAUAGCCCCGGGAAACCGGGAUUAAUACCGAAUAUGACCUUGGCCGACAUCGGCCUUGGUGGAAAGUUUUUCGGCUAGGGAUGAACUCGCGGCCUAUCAGCUUGUUGGUGGGGUAAUGGCCUACCAAGGCGACGACGGGUAGCCGGCCUGAGAGGGCGACCGGGCCACACUGGGACUGAGACACGGCCCAGACUCCUACGGGAGGCAGCAGUGGGGAAUAUUGCGCAAUGGGCGAAAGCCUGACGCAGCGACGCCGCGUGGGGGAUGAAGGCCUUCGGGUUGUAAACCCCUUUCAGCAGGGACGAAGCGAAAGUGACGGUACCUGCAGAAGAAGCGCCGGCUAACUACGUGCCAGCAGCCGC
rnacentral:rRNA from 1 species